CCGGAACCAUAUCUAUCCUCCUAUCCGACCUAGGCAUCUUGCUGAGAGAGACAUACGUCCAGCAGCAGAUUCCAUCCGCCAAUCUACUCUUUUCUCUAUCUUUUGUUUUAGAUUUCAUUCAUCCAAUUCUAUAAAAAAAACCAAAAGAAUCAUAUCUUGUUCUGUUCUUGUUCCUAUUGAAAACUCACUAAAGGUUCCUAUCUGUUGCAGGAUCGACCACAAGCAAGAGACGAGCCGGCCAGUACCAUCCAUCCGAGGCAAGGCUGAACCGCGGAUCGGCCAUCCGUCCGUCCGUCCGUCUGUCCGUUCGACCAUCCGACCCAUGCCUACAACAUUUUGGUAUCAGACCUGAAGUUUCCUGCGAAACUCAGUUCUUUCUGAACCCUAGCCGUCACCAUUCAAAAAAAAAAAAAUAUUUACUUUCCUUAUUUUCUUUUAAAAUUUUCGGAAUUAUUCUCCAAGUUUUUGAUCUUUCCAUUUAAAAAAAAAAUUAUUUACUUUCCUUGUUUUUAAAUUUUCGGAUUGUUUUCCAAGUUUUCAAAAAAAAAAUAUAUAUAUUCCCUUUCCUUUUUCAAACCUGAUUCGAAUUUUGUCUUAACCUUUGUUGCAAUUACUCUUAGCCUUGGUCGAUACUCAAAGUAUCCGACCCAAGCAACUAUUUAACCCCCUCUUGCCUUUUAAUCUUUCUUUGAGUUUCUUCUCAGAGAACUAUGGGAGAUGUAGGUCAAGACCAAGCGGCCAUAAACGCUCAGCUCCUAGCUGACAAUGAGGAACUGAGGGCGAGUCUUAGGACUAUCACAGCCGAGCUUGCUCAGAUACGGCAGGGAGGCAGGCCCAACGGACCUCGACCACCAGGAAGGCAUCAGCCGGACCCGCAUGACACUGACUCGGACGCGGACAGUACCGAUGAUACGCGCAGUCAGGACGAGGAGAGGCCGAACCGGGGAGGUAGGAGGAACGCGCGAGGACCCCGGGCCCAAGUACGAGGAGGCCGCGACCAUAGGGGAGGUCGAGACCGAGAGGAGGAAGAGCCUUGGUUGGGAGGCAAGGCGCUUAAGCUUC
rnacentral:lncRNA from 1 species